rnacentral:rRNA from 1 species
UGUUUCGGCUAGGGGGCCAUCCCGGCUUACCAACCCGAUGCAAACUGCGAAUACCGGAGAAUGUUAUCACGGGAGACACACGGCGGGUGCUAACGUCCGUCGUGAAGAGGGAAACAACCCAGACCGCCAGCUAAGGUCCCAAAGUCAUGGUUAAGUGGGAAACGAUGUGGGAAGGCCCAGACAGCCAGGAUGUUGGCUUAGAAGCAGCCAUCAUUUAAAGAAAGCGUAAUAGCUCACUGGUCGAGUCGGCCUGCGCGGAAGAUGUAACGGGGCUAAACCAUGCACCGAAGCUGCGGCAGCGACACUUUAGUGUUGUUGGGUAGGGGAGCGUUCUGUAAGCCGUUGAAGGUGUCCUGUGAGGGGUGCUGGAGGUAUCAGAAGUGCGAAUGCUGACAUAAGUAACGAUAAAGCGGGUGAAAAGCCCGCUCGCCGGAAGACCAAGGGUUCCUGUCCAACGUUAAUCGGGGCAGGGUGAGUCGACCCCUAAGGCGAGGCCGAAAGGCGUAGUCGAUGGGAAACGGGUUAAUAUUCCCGUACUUGGUGUUACUGCGAAGGGGGGACGGAGAAGGCUAUGUUGGCCGGGCGACGGUAGUCCCGGUUUAAGCGUGUAGGCUGGUUUUCCAGGCAAAUCCGGAAAAUCAAGGCUGAGGCGUGAUGACGAGGCACCACGGUGCUGAAGCAACAAAUGCCCUGCUUCCAGGAAAAGCCUCUAAGCAUCAGGUAACAUCAAAUCGUACCCCAAACCGACACAGGUGGUCAGGUAGAGAAUACCAAGGCGCUUGAGAGAACUCGGGUGAAGGAACUAGGCAAAAUGGUGCCGUAACUUCGGGAGAAGGCACGCUGACACGUAGGUGAAGUGAUUUACUCAUGGAGCUGAAGUCAGUCGAAGAUACCAGCUGGCUGCAACUGUUUAUUAAAAACACAGCACUGUGCAAACACGAAAGUGGACGUAUACGGUGUGACGCCUGCCCGGUGCCGGAAGGUUAAUUGAUGGGGUCAGCGCAAGCGAAGCUCCUGAUCGAAGCCCCGGUAAACGGCGGCCGUAACUAUAACGGUCCUAAGGUAGCGAAAUUCCUUGUCGGGUAAGUUCCGACCUGCACGAAUGGCGUAAUGAUGGCCAGGCUGUCUCCACCCGAGACUCAGUGAAAUUGAACUCGCUGUGAAGAUGCAGUGUACCCGCGGCAAGACGGAAAGACCCCGUGAACCUUUACUAUAGCUUGACACUGAACAUUGAGCCUUGAUGUGUA